UCACAGGACAGGAGAGUUUAAAAGAAGUCUGGUACAAUUAACAGAUUGUAUAUAUAUAUAUGUAUAUAUAUAUAUAUAUACAUAUAUAAUUUCACCCUUCCAGUGAGCCAACAACUACUCGAUUGUAUCAGCCAUCUUCUGAAGAUUCUGCCUAUUUAAAAUGUGGUGCUAAAAUGUUAAGAUUGCAGGCACACUGGUCUGGCUUCUGGAUACAAGAAGUCUGGAAACAAUUUUUGUGGUUCUUUUUGUGAUACUGGGGAUGCACUCAGCACCUUGCCUAGAAACAAGCUGGGCAGUGUGGUAAAUAUCUGUAAUUCCAACUACUCAGGAGGCUGAGACAAGAGGCCCACAAGCCCAGGAGCAGAAUGAAGUCAAGGCAACAAUAGGAAAACGGGUGUCAAAAGCAAAAGGAAAUUGCAUCCGCUGCUGAGGGCCACCUGCCACUGCACCCUCACCUGGAGACUGCUGUGAUCGGGAACUCCCUCACCCCUCAAGGCCUACUACUGCUGAAGCUACUGCCACUGAGGGGUGCUAGACAUGGUGAUGUUGUACCCAAGUCAUGGGACCUUCAAACAAGACCACCACAGAGCUAGUAUCCAAUGCAGACACACUGGGGUUUAUUGAUUACAAGUUAGCUAACUCAGACCAUAAUCCAACACACCUCCACAGCGGGUGGGGGAGAACGGCCCUGAGCUCUCAGGGAAAUGGGUUUUUUAUGGGGGAAAAAAAAACCCUGCAAGCAGAGUGCCACAAACCUUGGCAUUUGGGGAUUGGGUAAAAGUAUAUAACUUUUACAUUUGUUAGUUGGGAUAUAGGGGAACUUCAAAACAGUCAAAAUAGUGGUUAUCAGGUACCUACAAGGACUUUUGAAGGAAGCAGAUGUAAACAGAUGUUGUUUGGGUAUCCUGGUGGGCCGCUUUGACCAGGGCAGGCACAGUUUGGGGGGAAUGUUUAUGGCUUUGCUGGGCUGCAUUCACCCCCGCCCCCAGUUAGGGUCUGUCUAAUACGGAGUUCUUUCUCAAAAUGGAGCUUGUUCUGUUCCUUCAGGGACACAUUGGUGUGUGUUCUUUAAGACAUUCUUGUGCUCUGUGACACAGCUGUCACAAGGGGAACAGACCUCCUCCACCAUGUGGUCCUGCCAGCAUGACGUUACUGUGCUGCUGCAGGCCUAAAGCAGCCACACCCUGCAAUAAGACGCUUAAACACUUAAAUAUUUGAGGUUUAAGUCGGUUUCUUUGGGCUUUCUACCACACCCCCGGCUAACACGUGACAAGCCUCGAGAGGACAAAUCACCGUGUCUUUAUUACUCUGGUCCUUGGGGGGCAGAAGCACGGAGGACCCCGAUGAUCGCACCCUACUCACCAUCGCCUGGCCACUGCCUCUCUGUCUCCU